rnacentral:rRNA from 1 species
UACGAAGGGUGCAAACGUUGCUCGGAAUCAUUGGGCGUAAAGCGCGCGUAGGCGGACCUGCAAGUCGGGGGUGAAAGCCCGAGGCUCAACCUCGGAACUGCCUUCGAUACUGCGGGUCUCGAGUCCGGGAGAGGUGAGUGGAAUUCCUAGUGUAGAGGUGAAAUUCGUAGAUAUUAGGAAGAACACCAGUGGCGAAGGCGGCUCACUGGCCCGGUACUGACGCUGAGGCGCGAAAGCGUGGGGAGCAAACAGG